AAGCUAGUAUCUCAGUGGGAAAGAGUCUAUAUUUCCGAAAUAUAGUGUCGAGGGUUCAAACCCCUCCUAGCUUA
rnacentral:tRNA from 1 species